rnacentral:rRNA from 1 species
UACAGAGGGAGCAAGCGUUAUCCGGAAUGAUUGGGCGUAAAGCGUUUGUAGGUGGCUCGUAAAGUCUACUGUUAAAUAUCAGGGCUCAACCCCGAAAAGGCAGUGGAGUACUCACGAGCUAGAGUGUGGUAGAGGUAGAGGGAAUUCCAUGUGGAGCGGUGAAAUGCGUAGAGAUAUGGAAGAACACCAGCGGCGAAGGCGCUCUACUGGGCCAAGACUGACACUGAGAAACGAAAGCUAGGGGAGCGAACGGG